rnacentral:rRNA from 1 species
UCCUACGGGGGGCAGCAGUGGGGGAUAUUGCACAAUGGGGGCAACCCUGAUGCAGCGACGCCGCGUGAGCGAUGGAGUACUUCGGUAUGUAAAGCUCUGUCAGCAGGGAAGAGAAUGACGGUACCUGACCAAGAAGCCCCGGCUAAAUACGUGCCAGCAGCCGCGGUAAUACGUAUGGGGCAAGCGUUAUCCGGAUUUACUGGGUGUAAAGGGAGCGUAGGCGGCAGGGCAAGCCUGAUGUGAAAGCCCGGGGCUCAACUCCGGGACUGCUUUUGAAACUGUUGAACUAGAUUGCAGGAGAGGUA